rnacentral:misc_RNA from 1 species
CGAUCUCUGAAAUUUACUUGAACAAAAUUCGAGUUUUCAGACUUGAAUAGAAACUCUCAAAACUUCAAUAAUCCCUUGAGGAUAUAAUCACAAGGUUUUGGUCCCAAUUACUACUUCAGUUGAACCUGAUAUCAUUCUUUAGUACAGUGGUACAAGUUUUAAAAAAAUGUAUCAUUGGAUAUUCCAACGCAUGAACAAAUUCAGCAUCUAAAAACCAAAUUAGACAUCCAACUUAAUUUUAACAAAAACGUUUUGCCAUGGUUGAUAUUCCAGCUACCAUCUGUUGGUUGAUAUUUGCAAUGCCAUGGUUGAUAUUUGCAAUGCAGGUUUGGUCAGAGCACCAUAAUCUGCAAAAAUGAGAAAAAUCUGAGCCUUGCUGCAGUCACUGGAUAAUUGUUUAUAAUAACUAAAAUCACGACAGCAGGGUAACUCACCAGAUUUACCAUUUUUUAGAGCUUGAUCUCCUUUUAAGUUUGUAACCUUUUUAUAAUUACUAACUCUAUAAUGCACAAAACUCCUGCUAAAUAAGAAUUUGAAAUCUACCUCUGUUUUUCUUUUCUUGGUAGCCUGCAUUUAUGGUUGGGGGGGGGGAGGGGGAGGCGGAGAAAUGAAAAUAAAAUGUAUAUGGUCAUAAUCAAAAGAAAUGGUAUGAAAAAUUCGGAGUGCUUACCUACUGUUGAAAUUAACGGAAUUCAUCAUGGAAAUCAUAAUCCUCGUCUUCUUCAUCAUUGAAAACAGCACUGUAAAAUACAUAUGGGUUCUCAAUCAUCUCCAUCAAGGACAGCCGCCCAUCUUUAUCUGUAUCAGCCUGCCAUGUGCUUCACACAAUGUUCAAUGACAGCUUCCAUACUUAAUAACAUGCAAAUUUGCAUACCUAUUGUUAUAACAGAAAGCAAAGACAGCCCAACUGAUUAUCUUCAUUUCUAAUUAAUCAUAGGGUUUCUUCUCAUCAAAGUUUACACUGUAUUUCAACUACUAUCUCAAUGUGCCAAUAGUUUUAAGGAACCAGGUAGCAAAGACAACCGAUCCUCCAGAAGGAACAAGAUCAAACAGGAGGGGGGAAACAGAUAAUUACAUAAUGGCAUGCAACAGCAGUCAAUUUUAAUGACAUUGAGAGCAUCUUGAUAAAGAAGCACCUAUACCCUGAGCAAAUACAUACAUAUUGAAAAACAAGAAGUCUAAUGUAAUGCCUUACUGAAUUAAGAAAAUAACAUCUGAAAACCUUCUAUUUCCCAUAUGAUAAAAAAUAGUGGCAAGCAUGCGUUGCCUCUGCCUUACAGUUUUACACCAUGCGAAAAGAGAUAUUACGGUUGCACAAAAACAUUGAAUAGAACAGAACUGGUUUGUGUUCCUUUUGGUUCUUAUUUAACAAUGAUCCAGUUCCAGUAGCAAGAAAAGUUGGCAUAGCCAAGGAACAGCAUUCUUUUGGCACAUAACAAAAUCUAUGUGCAGAAUACAUGUGCUUGGAGUUGGAGAAGGCAACUGAUGCAUUGGUUUUUCAACAUAUAUUAACAUAACAAAAUUCUGCACAGAAUUUAUUGAAUUUGCCACUCUAGCCCUCUUAUCUAAGUCACAACAGUUCGUGAAGACCACUCAAAUUAGCUGCCACUCAAAUUAGCUUUACUUAGACUUGAACACUAUCUUCGUAGGAUGUCAUAUAGCAGGUAAAGAGUGGUAAAAGUUAGGGGUAGGAUCCAAAUACAUAGAUGAACCUAUUGUAGCUUUUUUACUUUAGUGCUUUUACUAAAUUAUAUUCUUUGUUUAUGGACAUCAUCAAUAACCAUGUUGCCAGUGGACUGCUUCAUCCAGAAGAUUUCUUCAAUUUAUUAGCCAAUGUAAAACUGCACUGUUGAGUUAUUAUUCUAUGAUAGGAGAACAAAAGGAGUAAUUAUAAUAUCUAAAGGUAGCUCUUGCAUAAUUCCUAUGUACCUUGGUUAGA